UACGAGAGGCCCAAACGUUAUUCGGAAUUACUGGGCUUAAAGAGUUCGUAGGCGGCAUGAAAAGUAGGGUGUGAAAGCCCUCGGCUCAACCGAGGAAUUGCGCUCUAAACUGUCGUGCUAGAGGAAGCUAGAGGUGAGCGGAACUGAUGGUGGAGCGGUGAAAUGCGUUGAUAUCAUCAGGAACACCGGAGGCGAAGGCGGCUCACUGGGGCUUUUCUGACGCUGAGGAACGAAAGCCAGGGUAGCGAACGGG
rnacentral:rRNA from 2 species